AAAAAGAGCAAAGUGUAUACGGUGUGUCACAAUUUGUGUAAAGGAAAUAGUUAUCUCUGCAUUUGCUUGAAAAUUAGAAAGAAUGUUACUGGAAGAAUACCCACAAUAUUUCUGCCUCUAAGGAGAAAACUGGGUUGUAAGGGAGAGGGGUAACAUGGAGAUGACUUUUUGGUAAAUCACUCCUUUUACCUCCUAAAGUUUGCAUCAUUGGCAUGUACUACCUACACAAAGCGUUAAACCAGAUUUUAAAGAUGGUGGUCUGGAACUCAUGAAGAUCUUCAGGUGCUUUGACCUCUUCCUGCCCUACUAAGGUUGAAGAUCUCUCCUUUGAGGGCCAAGGAGCCAUUCAUUGUCACCAUAAUUCUUGGAAAGAGCUGAAAAAAGAACCCAGGAAUACAACUCCCCAGGAGCCUCCACAGUCCCUUCCCCAUGCAGAGGGUGUAACUUGGGCCAAGAAGUCGUGAUGUGAGUAGGUCACACAGUGUUGAGGGCCAAAACCCUCGACUCCGUUGGGAGUUAAAGGGGAGGAAGUGGACAUUUCCUUUGAACCUAAUAAUAAGCAGGUGAGGUUUUGUAUUCUCAUUUUUCACAGUGCAAGAAAAUUUUGUUUAGAAAUUCUAGUUAAGUCAUUUACCCAAAGCCCUAAAGCCAGUAAACAGCAAGUGGGAAUCAAACCCAAGUCCCUUGACAUGCCAAACCAGCUUCUUUCCACUAGACCACCCCUUCCCCCAUUACUGUAAACUCCAUCUCUCCGCUGCUGUCAGCUCCUUCUUGAUCCGUACAGAAAUAAAAGUUUGCCACCAUUUUGCCUGACCUCCUCCAGAGACUCGCUUCA
rnacentral:lncRNA from 1 species